rnacentral:rRNA from 1 species
GACGAACGCUGGCGGCGUGCUUAACACAUGCAAGUCGAACGGAAAGGCUCUGCUGUUGUGGGGUACUCGAUUAGCGAACGGGUGAGUAACGCGUGAGUAACCUUCCCUUGCCUUUGGGAUAACUUCAGGAAACUGGGGCUAAUACCGGAUAGGAGCUCCUGCUGCUUGUUGGGGGUUGGAAAGUUUCGGCGGUUGGGGAUGGACUCGCGGCUUAGCAGCUUGUUGGUGGGGUAGUUGCUUACCCAGGCUUUGACGGUGAGCCGGCCUGAGAGGGUGACCGGGCACAUAGGGCCUCGGGAAGCGGCCGGAGUGCUACGGGAGGCAGGAGUGGGGGUCUUUCCACGAAGGGCGGAAGGCGUGAGGAGCAACGCCGCGUGGUGGAGGACUGCCGUCGGGGUGGAAACCGCGUUCGCCUGUGAAGAAGCGUGAGUGACGGUAACUGGUAAAAAAGCAACGGCUAACUACGUG